ensembl:lncRNA CCDC144NL-AS1 CCDC144NL antisense RNA 1
ACCGCAGUAUAUAAAUGAUGCUGAAGCGGAAACACGUUUUUUCAAGUUCCUGUAUUUUUAUGUGGAGUUGCUCACUGCCCAACGUAGAGGACUAGGAAUCAGGAGUCGGUGGCCGUAUGCUGGAGGCUGGAGCCGCGGGAGCGCGGCUCGCCUCGCUGCGGUUGUUGGCAGUGACGGAGAGAGAGCAGCGCGGCUGGAGCAGAUAGUUUCCCUUGCAAAGUUAUCAAAGUGCUCCCCAGAAGACAUUAGGUAUUUGCUUUCUAGUCUACAUACAAUGAAAAGGAAAAAACGUCAGUUCCUGAAGCUCUCUCAAAACAUCAACAGAUGGAAAGACGUGCCCAUGUCCUCCCCUCCCUCCACUCUGGGGGCUUGGAAAUGCUGCAGCAGGGAGCAGGCCCCAGGCUGGACCUGCCCUGUCCUCACGACGAGUGUGUGCAAAAGUGAACAAUAAAUCAUUUCAAAGAUGCAAGGAAGAAAAACCAAAACAUCAACAGAAUCUUCUUUCCCAUAAUCUUCAUGCACCUCCUGGUCCGGAUGAGUUUAUGUUCCCAUCUCCGAGCACAGGGAUUGAUUGUGAUGGCAUUUAUAGGACUGAGUGCCCCACACUCUGUGAUCCAGCAUGGAGUUAUGAUUUACAUCACCACAGGAAGAGUACAGAGGCUUCAACAGAAAAAAAGCAAAAACAACAGACCUUCAUUCAGCUUAGGAACAUAAUAAAUAGGACGAAGUUGAAUAAACGAAAUGGAGGGGAGUGAAGUAUUCCAGAUGGAAGAGGCAGUACGUGGCCAAGAGGAAACAGACCAUGUGCGCUGGAGAAAAAGGAUGGCCAGACUUGCAGAAACCUGGAAUUGGUGAUUGGCUUUAGAAGUGGAGAGACAAAAAAGGAGGCAUAGAAAGUGCCAACAUUUGGCUACACAGGGAAGAAAGACGUAAAAUAAUAAAAACAUUGGCAUCACCUGUAGACUCAAAUCCUGUGAGUGAAGGACCUGAGCAAUGAAGGAUGGAUUGAACUCGUGAUUAGCCUUCUUCAGCAUAUGUAAAAUGAUGUCUGCUUUUCUUCUCUAUUUGUCAUUUUACCGACUUUUUAUAUAUAGUAGUUUCCCCAUAUCCAUGGAGGAUGUAUCCCAAGACCCCCAGAGGAUGCUUGAAACCACAGAUAAUAACAAACUCUAUGUAUCCUAUGAUUUUUCCUGUACAUCCUUACCUAUCAUAAAGUGAGUGUAUAAACUAGGCACAGGAGAUUAAAAACAAUAACUCAUAAUAAAAUAGAACAAUUAGUACAACCUAAUGAAA